rnacentral:lncRNA from 1 species
UCCGGUGGUAUAGGACGCCGUGAUGAGUUCUUUGUUUUGCUCUCUUUCGUGUACUUCCCGGCGGUAUGGGACGUCGUGGUAAGUUCUUGUAUGUAUGUUCUAAAGAUUGUUGAUGAUGAUUAUGGCAAGUAGAUGUUUUGCUAUUGUGUAUAUGGUUGUAUGCUUUCGAAAUAAUACUCAGUUGUUAUGGUGAUUAUGGAGUAUAUUGAAAUAGUAUGUCAUGUUAUUGCUUUAAUAGUAUAGAUGUUGUUACAGUGGUAUCAAAGUAGAU